GGAAGAUUGCACAUCUAUCCUGGUUGACUCAGACAGAGCCAUUCUCAGCUAAUGUGUGGGCUCCUGGUGGUAAAAGCAGGAACAAGUAGGAGUCAAUGUUUCUUUAGCAAAUAAUGUCAGUUAUUUCUCAAGGUUCUCAAGAAGUAGCUUUAAAAGCAUCUAAUAUGAGAGACAUGUUUCCUUCAUGUGAGAAUAGUGGACUGAGCCUCCCUAGGAUAAAUAAUUAAUUGAUUAACUAAUAAUGAAUUAAUUCCUGCUGUGAUGAGAUGUGCUUGCCUUUAGUCAGGGAGGAGCUUAGCACCAGGCUUCUGUGGAAAUAAAUGAAGACCAACCAAAUGGGAACAAGCAAAGGCUAUUUAUUCAGAGCUUAUGGAAGUCAGCUAUCAUCUCUUCCAUUUUGGCAGAAAGUCAAAGGUUUCAACCAUGUUGAUAUGCCAUGUGGAUUGCCUGUAUCUCUGACAUAGAGGGAAAAGAAAGAGCCCCAGGCUAAAGGCACAAUCCGUUCCUGGGCUCUACCAUACUAUUGGCACAAGGCUGUCUCCAAAGCACCUGAAGCUCAGCCUACUCUGAACUCAGGUUUAUGGGAAUUCCUUUAAGAUUUCAGCAGAAAGCAUGGUGACUUGGUUUGAAAUACAUCUGUACAAAAACAAAACAAGCAGCAACAAGAACGAUGGCAAACUGAGAUCUGGAUGAUGGAAGAAGCCAGCCACACAAAGAGGCAAGGGAAGAACAUUUCAUUUAGCAGAAAGAGUGUCCCCCACCUCUCUCCUUUUGGGUGUGCCAGAGAAGCCUUCAACCCCACUGCUUCUAACAGCCUUCUUGUGACUAAGGCAAGGAAUCAGAUCCAGAGGGGAGACUUGGUUAAAUCGCAAAACUGCCCUUGACUGUGAUCAUCAGUGGAGAGAGAAGUUGGAAUACCAUCUCUCUGGGACUCCCUGAAAAGCCCAGCUGAGAUGGAUCUUGAACAAUCACUUCUACUCUUGUUCCUCUCCUUCUGAUAGUGAAAAUGGUUUAACUCCUUAUUGUGAAUAACGCCACUGAAGAAUUACUUGAACGCAUGAAGCUACAUCCUUGCUACAAUGAACAUUCUCACUCUAGCCUGUGCAAAAUGAGUAGAUGUUUAGCACCUUCUCUCCAUGAUAUAAUUGAAAUGCUUAAAAGUACCCUCCAAAAUUGAACACUGACUGAAUGUUUGAUAAUAUUAAGAAUAUAUCGAGGUAAGUUUUUAGAAGUGAUAAUCAUAUUGUGGUUAAGUUUGUUAAAAACAAAACAACAGGCACCAAAUGGGGCGGCUUGUGCCAGAUCCUGUGUUACCAAACUGAGGCUUAAUUAUAGUUUUGGCUCUCUCCAAAUGUGGUCAUAGGUUGGGAAUCACAUGAUCAGUGCUAGUUAGGUAAUUGUUCUGACAGACCCCACCAUCCUCUGAAGGAAAGCAGUCUUUCCAUAACCACUCCGCUUUUAAGCCUAGUAUACUUCCUUGUUCCUGCUACUUUCUGCCCGUAAAAGUCUUUCAUUUUGUACCAUUCCUAGGAGUUCCUUCCUAUCUGUUAGAUUAAAUCCUGCCUGAUUCAUGUUUUACUGAAGAAAGCCAAUAAGAUCUUCAAAAUUUACUAAGCUGAAUUCUGUUUUUUUAAAUAGUUUUUAUAAAGAGUCCUUAAUAUUUAGAGGUAUAUAUGAAAGUAUUUUUGGGUGACAUAAUAUGACAUCUGUAAUUUUCUUCGAAAUAACUAUGUAGCGGGGUAAGUGGGAAAAUAUGUGAAAUAAGACUGGCUACAAAUUGGUAAUUGUUGAAGGAGGAUAGUCUUUAUAAUUUUCUCUUUACUUUGCUAAUGCUUGAAAUUUUUAUAAUAAAUUAUAAAAAAGA